CCUACGGGAGGCAGCAGUGAGGAAUAUUGGUCAAUGGACGCAAGUCUGAACCAGCCAUGCCGCGUGCAGGAAGAAGGUGCUAUGCAUUGUAAACUGCUUUUAUACGGGGGUAAUUACAGAUACGUGUAUCUGGAUGAAAGUACCGUAUGAAUAAGGAUCGGCUAACUCCGUGCCAGCAGCCGCGGUAAUACGGGGGGUGCAAGCGUUGUCCGGAAUCAUUGGGCGUAAAGCGUUCGUAGGCGGCAAGGUAAGUCUGAUGUUAAAGCCCGGGGCUCAACUCCGGUUCGGCAUUGGAUACUAUCUAGCUAGAAUGUGGUAGAGGUAAAGGGAAUUCCUGGUGUAGCGGUGAAAUGCGUAGAUAUCAGGAGGAACAUCGGUGGCGAAAGCGCUUUACUGGACCAUUAUUGACGCUGAGGAACGAAAGCCAGGGGAGCAAAUGGGAUUAGAUACCCCAGUAGUC
rnacentral:rRNA from 1 species